rnacentral:rRNA from 1 species
CCUUCAUGAAGCUGGAAUUGCUAGUAAUGGCAGGUCAGCAUACUGCCGUGAAUACGUUCCCGGGCCUUGUACACACCGCCCGUCACACCAUGAGAGUUGGGGGCGCCCGAAGCCACUUAGCUAACCCUUUUGGGAAGCGAGUGUCGAAGGUGAAAUCAAUAACUGGGGUGAAGUCGUAACAAGGUACC